GACGAACGCUGGCGGCGUGCUUAACACAUGCAAGUCGAACGGAAAGGCCCUGCUUUUGUGGGGUGCUCGAGUGGCGAACGGGUGAGUAACACGUGAGUAACCUGCCCUUGACUUUGGGAUAACUUCAGGAAACUGGGGCUAAUACCGGAUAGGAGCUCCUGCUGCAUGGUGGGGGUUGGAAAGUUUCGGCGGUUGGGGAUGGACUCGCGGCUUAUCAGCUUGUUGGUGGGGUAGUGGCUUACCAAGGCUUUGACGGGUAGCCGGCCUGAGAGGGUGACCGGCCACAUUGGGACUGAGAUACGGACCAGACUCCUACGGGAGGCAGCAGUGGGGAAUACUGCACAAUGGGCGGAAGCCUGAUGCAGCAACGCCGCGUGCGGGAUGACGGCCUUCGGGUUGUAAACCGCUUUCGCCUGUGACGAAGCGUGAGUGACGGUAAUGGGUAAAGAAGCACCGGCUAACUACGUG
rnacentral:rRNA from 1 species